AGUGAACGCUGGCGGUAGGCCUAACACAUGCAAGUCGAACGGCAGCACAGUAAGAGCUUGCUCUUACGGGUGGCGAGUGGCGGACGGGUGAGGAAUACAUCGGAAUCUACUUUUUCGUGGGGGAUAACGUAGGGAAACUUACGCUAAUACCGCAUACGACCUACGGGUGAAAGCAGGGGAUCUUCGGACCUUGCGCGAUUGAAUGAGCCGAUGUCGGAUUAGCUAGUUGGCGGGGUAAAGGCCCACCAAGGCGACGAUCCGUAGCUGGUCUGAGAGGAUGAUCGGCCACACUGGAACUGAGACACGGUCCGGACUCCUACGGGAGGCAGCAGUGGGGAAUAUUGGACAAUGGGCGCAAGCCUGAUCCAGCCAUACCGCGUGGGUGAAGAAGGCCUUCGGGUUGUAAAGCCCUUUUGUUGGGAAAGAAAAGCAGCAGGUUAAUACCCCGCUGUUCUGACGGUACCCAAAGAAUAAGCACCGGCUAACUUCGUG
rnacentral:rRNA from 1 species